rnacentral:tRNA from 1 species
GGUCUGUUCGUCUAGCGGUAGGAUUACUUCGGUGAUCCGUAGGACGUUACCUUUUUUCGAGGUAGAAACAUAGGUUCGAAUCCUGUACAGACUAC